GGCAUGCAUGUCUUUGGUUGCCUCUCAUGCAUGUUUGCCAUCCCCUUAAAGCAACGGCUCCCCCUGCUUGCGCGCCCCGGCCGGGCCUUCGUUGGUACCACUCGAUCCCAUAAGAGGUCGCUAUCUCAUCUCAAGCUUUCUUGUCCGUAAUGCUGUCAUCUACUUGCUGCUGAGCUUCACAUCAUCCCUUGGCCCAUAAUCACCAGCAUGUUCUCUCUGGUAAGUAUUCAUGCAUAACUAUUCCUCCCUUCUUUUGCCACGUCAUUAACUAACCUAGUUAAUAUAUAUCGCAUGGUUGCUCUUUUAAUAAAUUUUACCUGAUGGCUCGAGAUAUAUGCAACCAGGCUAGAGACCUAGCAAGAUUAUCUUUGUAGAUAUAUCCUUCUGAAGAAAAUGAUAUGCUUUGCUUUUAAAUUCAUUUCUUACCUUAAUUAAUUUGUAUGCAACUAUCUGAAUGUAAUCUUAUGAAAGUAGAGUUAUUGUUUUCCCUGAUUGAUAGAGCUAUACCUUGCUCCUUCUCAAGGGAAGUUUUAUGAGUAGCUAGCUAGUUGGAUGGCAGAUUAUCCAAACCUGUCAUAAACUCAUAAUGUUACCGCUCCAUGCUAAUAUGUAGCAUGGAUAAUUUUCACCCAUCGUCGUUUUCAAGUUUGUUGAAGUGAUUCACACAUGACAUGUGUUUAUUAUGUAUGAUGUCAAGUUAAGUUGGGGUUUUUCCUCUUUAGCAUACUGAUCUAACAUGAUAAUCACUGUUUUUGAACUAAGCUGUUUCUUUCCAAUCAAAUUUGUAAAUAUUAUUGUUCUGCUCUAGAACUGUCCGUUCCCUGUGACUAUAUGACGUGUGUUGUAGUGAGUUAUGUGUUAUCUACUUCAGUACUUGUUUUCGGUAUCAUUUCUGUGCUAGUAGCGAGAAUCUUGACAGAGACCAACAUUCCUCACUGAUUCCAUGAGUUAUUCCAGGACUCUGCCUGGGAGAAUGCCUGAUUGUAUUUCCUUGUUGAUGUAGGUACUCUCAUAGUAUAGUAGAACAUAACCCGCGUUGAACUUGAUAAAACAAUGCAAAGAACAUGUUAGACUAAAAUUCCUGGUUCAUCAUUAAGAAAUAACUGAACAUGCAUCCAGAGACCUAGGUAACUUUCUAGGUGAUACGCCUGAGCUGCAUAUAAUCCGAAGUUGGUUUUUGUCUAUCCCAUAGCCCUUUGUUUACAUGAAAGAAAGAAUUAGCAGAUGAUGAGCUGAAUGCAUACUCACAUGCAUCCAUACAGAGAAGAAUGAUGGCCCAUCCUUUGGACCACAGAGGUAGAACGAUUAGUCAUCCUUAUUUAGAUUAAGUAAGUGUCACACACAGUAUUUAGAUCUUUUCUUGUUUAUUUCAAUGUAAUUUAAUGUUCUUCUGUGAUCUACUUGUUCUUGAUAAUCUCUAUACUAAAUUAGCUGGUAGAUUUUAAAAUUGUUACUGUACUUGUAUCGAGAAAAAGCAUGGAAGUACUAGAAACAUUUAAGGCCACGAGUAUAUAUAAACAUCUUCUUAGAAUCAUAACAAGGUCAAGUUCUUUUUUUUUGCGGGGUGAUAACAAGGUGAAGUUGAUCUGCUGAACUUUUUUGUUCUAUGACACGUGGUUUAUAGCAAGAAAAUCCUAUAGGAUAUGUUUUAUCUAUAAGACAGUCCUUGUGUAAGCCAGUUAAUUCUUCACUACUCUGUUGUACACAUGGUCUCAGCAGGAAAUAGACAUUUUGGUAGUGCAAAUGGCAUGACAGUAGAGCAUUAGACACUGGUGUAGAUGAGACAAUUCGUUUUUUUUGGGUUUCAUAAAACAUAUGUACAUUAUAUGCAUUAUAUUAUAUAUAUGAUAUGAUUUAAGAAUUUUGAGUUAGCAAAAUUGUCACGAAACUAUUUCUCUUCAGGUAAAAUGCCAUGUAAAAAAGAAUAUAAAUGAGCAUUGAUGUUUGUGCAUACUGGUACAGGCAUGGUUGUCAAGUUCAUUGAAAAACCAACAGCUUAUACAAUCGCAUCACCUUCUACAAAUCAUACUUGAUGAAGUUUCUAUGUUCUCCAUGCUCUUAUUUCGUAUAUGUAGCAACACGGUGAUCAUUAUAUUUAGUACAACGCACUGAAACACGUAAGCAGCGUACAGUACUACACACAUCAUAUUACAGUCUUAUAUUUACAUGGUACUAUGUAAAUCAAAUUACUUAUCUGUCCAAUAAUUGAUAUCACAUGAUGAUCAUCAUCAUCCUUAUUAUUAUAGCUCCUUAAGAUAAUAAUUAUGUAUGAGAUACUAUAUUUGAUUAAGGGCAUCGUCACUUCCAUGGAUCAACUUGACUGCUUGAUGUCGAGGUGGACGCAUAAUCAGUUGCCCCCUCUUGCUUCUCGUUGAGCUGAAGAAUGCCUCCAUCAGUAUAAUCUACACCCUUGGUCGCAUCAUUACUAAGCUGGGAUGCAACAAACUUGUCCAGGACUCUCCAGUCAGUAGUGGAUUGGUCGACAGCUGCAUGAUCGAUAAGUUGAACAUGGUGGUGGGCAUUGACUUGGUGAUCAUCGGGCGAUACCAAAAGAGAAUGGAAGGAAGAUGUCUCUAGGUCAUGAGGAAUAAUGGUGCUGAGGACAUCGUGAUGAUGAUGGUUUGGCAUUUGGAAUUGUAGCUUCAGUUCCCUCUUGUAGGUGUUGUUGAGCAUCUGGAGGUGUUGUUCUUGCAGCGCCGCCAUGCUGUGGUGAGGGGGCAUUAUUCCGUUCAUCGUCGGAGCGUUGAGGUCAUGCAUGAAGGGCCCAUCGUCAUCGACAUACCAGCAGGGUGCAUCAUGGUCCAGAUCCCUUCUUGUUGCCGGUAAUCUCUUCUUGAACACCCUGCAUACUACCCAACCUUCUUCCUGAAAUUAAUCAAUAUACAUGGUCAAUCGAUCAGGUUAGCUGGAGGGCUACUUAAUUUAAACACCGACAAACAACAUUUGGGAGUUGAGACAAGACGUAGAUGUAUAAAUUGGAGUAUAGCUUAAAAAUUGCUUGCCUGUGGAGGGCCAUUCUCGUUGGUCUCGAGGCGGUACUCGUGCAUGAUCCAGUCGGACUUGUGGCCAUUGGGAGCCCUGCCUUUGUAGUAGACGAGGGUCUUCCUCAUGCCAACCAAGCAGUGCUUUGCAUAGAUGGGCUUGUCUCUCCCCGUCGCCUUCCAGAACCCCGCCGCGGUUGCCCGGUUUGUCCGAGUCCCUGUUGGGUAUUUCUUGUCCUUGUGGCUGAAGAAGUACCAAUCGCUCUGCUCCUCCUCAGGACCUAUCCUACAUUUCUCUGCAUAUAGGAAUGAAUGAAGGAAUGUAC
rnacentral:lncRNA from 1 species